CCUAUCCCACGAGCUUCUCCUGAUCCCGUGGUCUUCCCCACCUCCUCCCGAUCCCGCCGCCACCCCCGCCUCCUCCGGCGCGCCGCCGUCCCCGCCUCCGCCCACACCUCCCUCCGGCGCGCCGCCGUCCCCGCCUCCUCCAGGCUCGCCUCCGCCCACGCCUCCCUCCGGCGCGCCGCCGUCCCCGCCUCCUCCCGGCUCAUCUCCGUCCCUGCCUCCUUUCACCGCCGCACUAAGGUUCCCCGGCCCCCUCCACCCGCCGUCGCCACCUCUCCUCUCCCUCCCAGCACGUCACCGCCGGCCCGCACCUCCUCCCCCUUCCAGCGGACCACCGGCAGCCGCACCCUUCCACUUCCCAACAUCCUCCGGCGAUGCGCCGGCCCUUCCCGUCCCGAACCCCGCCUCCUACGCUGCGCCGCCACGCAACCGCAGCCCGAGCCCCGCCUCCGCCACCGCGCCGCCAUGCAUCCGUUCCUCCUCCGUUGGAUAUGUGUUGCCGCCUUUUCCCUGAAUCCUUGAUGCCACCAAUCGACGUGUUGACAACCACGCGCCAGGAGAACCCAGCGCCGCCGGCCAUGGCGGAGGAGGAGGGGACACAGCAGCUUCCGUUCGUGCGGGAGACGGUCCUCAAGAAGAGGAAGGACAACGAGGAGUGGGCCACCAAGAACCGGGAGCGCAAGGCGGCCAAGAUGCAGCACCGCCGCCACGACGCCAAGUGCGCCAUCAAGCACCCCGAGGUCUUCGUCAAGGAGUUCCGCAACAAGGAGCUCGACUUCCUGCGGAUGCGGACGCGCCUCAAGGUCCGGAAUCUGCGCCCCGCCGAGGCCAUCGACGCCAAGCUUCUCUUCGCCAUCCACAUCCCAGGGGCAGUGCCUACCUAAACCUAAAGCAUCCAUCUCUCUGACUUGCUGGUGGUACCUCGCGAUUAACAUCAAACUCUUCAUGUCUGAUUGCAGCACUGCUGACUUGCACCCGCAAAAUCGGGAAGAUCUUGGCAAGGCUGCAGCUGAAAAAGGUCCUCACCGGUGUCUUCCUCAAGGCCACCGAGGCAAACCUCAAGAGGCUUGCUACUGUUGGACCGUUCGUCACCUAUGGUAGGUUCCCCAAUUUGAAGAAUGUGAAGGAGCUUAUUUACAAGAAGGGUCGCGGAUAUUUCGACAAGGAGCCUUUCCCCCUUACCAGCAAUGAUCUAAUCGAGAAGAGGCAGGAGGAAGAAAAGACAGCAAUCAACACACACGUUCUGAACAAAAAUGUUGUUUUGGCUUCCUUACUACGGCAAUUGUUUUCAGGUGCAUCGGAAGGUGUUAUGACAAUCUCCGCUGUUUCUACACCGGACGCCGGGCAAAUGUGUUGUGCUGGGCAGCAAGGAUUUGGGAUCUGUUGCUUCUCGAUGUGCGGUCUCAUACCAUUGAACUUGAUUGCUCAGGCCUCUAUGAUACUACGAUCUCUGUUUGCAAUUUGCUUCUUGUAAUACUACUGCGGAUUCAGAUUGGGUUGUAUUAUUUCCAAUUGUAUUCUUCUGAGCUUGUGUUUUAAUUGAAAAAAAUGUGCGUGUGAGCAAGAGAAAAAGAAUAUUUUCAAAAGAAGUUCGUGUAUCACUUCCCUAAGAGUUCUUGUAUUACUCCCUAGAGAAUUCAAGUAUUGCUAUCCAGUUUGUGCAC
rnacentral:rRNA from 1 species